AGUGAACGCUGGCGGUAUGCCUAACACAUGCAAGUCGAACGGCAGCACAGUAAGAGCUUGCUCUUACGGGUGGCGAGUGGCGGACGGGUGAGGAAUACAUCGGAAUCUACUUUUUCGUGGGGGAUAACGUAGGGAAACUUACGCUAAUACCGCAUACGACCUACGGGUGGAAGCAGGGGAUCUUCGGACCUUGCGCGAUUGAAUGAGCCGGUGUCGGAUUAGCUAGUUGGCGGGGUAAAGGCUCACCAAGGCGACGAUCCGUAGCUGGUCUGAGAGGAUGAUCAGCCACACUGGAACUGAGACACGGUCCAGACUCCUACGGGAGGCAGCAGUGGGGAAUAUUGGACAAUGGGCGCAAGCCUGAUGCAGCCAUACCGCGUGGGUGAAGAAGGCCUUCGGGUUGUAAAGCCCUUUUGUUGGGAAAGAAAAGCAGCAGGUGAAUACAUCGACGUUUUGACGGUACCCAAAGAAUAAGCACCGGCUAACUUCGUG
rnacentral:rRNA from 1 species